rnacentral:tRNA from 1 species
GGCCCGUUGGUCAAGUGGUUAAGACACCGCCCUUUCACGGCGGUAACAUGGGUUCAAAUCCCGUACCGGUCA